CCAGACACAACGAGGAUUGACAGAUUGAGAGCUCUUUCUUGAUUUUGUGGGUGGUGGUGCCUGGCCGUUCUUAGUUGGUGGAGUGAUUUGUCUGCUUAAUUGCGAUAACGACGGAAUAUUUUCUUGCUCAUCUUCCCGUCUUCUCCUUUUCGAAUGGAUUCUUAUUCAUCUUCUCUUUUCUCGAGAGGAUUCUUGUUCAUCGUCCCAUCUCCUCUUCCCUCGAGAACCCAGGGGCGCAGGCUCUUUGAUG
rnacentral:ncRNA from 1 species